rnacentral:rRNA from 1 species
AGAGUUUGAUCCUGGCUCACGAUGAAUGCUGGCGGACCGCGCCUAACACAUGCAAGUCGAGCGGUAACAGGUCUAGUUUACUAGAUGCUGACGAGCGGCGGACGGCUGAGUAACGCGUGGGAACAUGCCCCAAAGUGAGGAAUAACUGCCCGAAAGGGUAGCUAAUGCCGCAUAUGAUCUUCGGAUUAAAGGAUUUAUCCGCUUUGGGAGUGGCCUGCGUACGAUUAGGUAUGUUGGUGAGGUAAAGGCUCACCAAGUCCUACGAUCGUUAACUGGUCUGAGAGGAUGAUCAGUCNGACUGGAACUGUAGUACACGGUCCAGACUCCUACNGNAGGCAGACAGUGAGGAAUCUUCCACAAUGGGCGAAAGCCUGAUGGAGCGACGCCGCGUGCAGGAUGAAGGCCUUCGGGUUGUAAACUGCUUUUAUAAGUGAAGAAUAUGACGGUAACUUAUGAAUAAGCACCGGCUAACUACGUGCCAGCAGCCGUGGUCAUACGUAGGGUGCAAGCAUUAUCCGGAGUGACUGGGCGUAAAGAGUUGCGUAGGUGGCUUUGUAAGCGAAUAGUGAAAUCUGACGGCUCAACCGUACAUGACUAUUAUUCGAACUGCAAGGCUCGAGAAUAGCAGAGGUAACUGGAAUUUCUAGUGUAGGAGUGAAAUCCGUAGAUAUUAGAAGGAACACCAAUGGCGUAGGCAGGUUACUGGGCUAUUUCUGACACUAAGGCACGAAAGCGUGGGGAGCGAACCGGAUUAGAUACCCGGGUAGUCCACGCCGUAAACGAUGGAUACUAGCUGUUGGAGGUAUCGACCCCUUCAGUAGCGAAGCUAACGCGUUAAGUAUCCCGCCUGUGGAGUACGGUCGCAAGACUAAAACAUAAAGGAAUUGACGGGGACCCGCACAAGCGGUGGAGCGUGUUCUUUAAUUCGAUGAUAAACGAAGAACCUUACCAGGGUUUGACAUCCCUUGAAUUACUUCGAAAGAAGUGAGUGCUUUAUUGAACAAGGUGACAGGUGCUGCAUGGCCGUCGUCAGCUCGUGUCGUGAGAUGUUUGGUUAAGUCCAUUAACGAGCGCAACCCUUGUCCUAUGUUGCCAGCACGUUAUGGUGGGGACUCGUAGGAGACUGCCAGGGUCAACUCGGAGGAAGGUGGGGACGAGGUCAAAUCAUCAUGCCCCUUAUGUCCAGGGCUGCAAACAUGCUACAAUGGCCGGUACAAAGGGCUGCGAUACCGCGAGGUUGAGCGAAUCCCAUAAAGCCGGUCUCAGUUCGGAUUGGAGUCUGCAACUCGACUCCAUGAAGCUGGAGUUGCUAGUAAUCCCGGAUCAGCAACGCCGGGGUGAAUACGUUCCCGGGCCUUGUACACACCGCCCGUCACACCAUGAAAGUUGGAAACGCCCGAAGCCAGCGGCCUAACCCGUAAGGGGGGGAGCUGUCGAAGGUGGAAUCAGCGAUUAGGGUGAAGUCGUAACAAGGUA